rnacentral:rRNA from 1 species
UACGUAGGGGGCAAGCGUUGUCCGGAUUCAUUGGGCGUAAAGAGCUCGUAGGCGGCUUGGCAAGUCGGGUGUGAAACCUCCAGGCUCAACCUGGAGACGCCACCCGAUACUGCCAUGGCUAGAGUCCGGUAGGGGACCACGGAAUUCCUGGUGUAGCGGUGGAAAUGACGCAGAUAUCAGGAGGAACACCGGUGGCGAAGGCGGUGGUCUGGGCCGGAACUGACGCUGAGGAGCGAAAGCGUGGGGAGCGAACAGG